rnacentral:rRNA from 1 species
UUUGCACGUUCUACGUGGUCAGUCAUCCAAAUAGCGUCAAAUUUGUAUCCGCCCACAACUGUUGCCAAUAUUUUUGGUCAUUGGUUGGACGAUAUUUCAAAUAGGUUUAAAACGCUAAUAAGGGUGGGAGCGUAUGCCUUAAUUUGGUCGCUUUGGCUAUGUAGAAAUGAUUUUGUUUUUAAUGGAAGAAAUGUGUCUCCUCUACAGGUUAUUUUCCGGUGUACGCAAUUGCUACGUAUGUGGUCUAUGUUACAACGACCGGAGGACCAACCGCUGUUCAAGGCGGUGUGUAUGCGAUUGGAGCAGGUGGCUAUGAAGGUUUUUUCCCAACAUGGGUGGCAACAUAACCUUCGGAUCGAUCCACCACCUCCAUCGACAUAG